AGGUGCGAAAGCAGGUCAUAGUGAUCCGGUGGUUCUGAAUGGAAGGGCCAUCGCUCAACGGAUAAAAGGUACUCCGGGGAUAACAGGCUGAUACCGCCCAAGAGUUCAUAUCGACGGCGGUGUUUGGCACCUCGAUGUCGGCUCAUCACAUCCUGGGGCUGAAGUAGGUCCCAAGGGUAUGGCUGUUCGCCAUUUAAAGUGGUACGCGAGCUGGGUUUAGAACGUCGUGAGACAGUUCGGUCCCUAUCUGCCGUGGGCGCUGGAGAAUUGAGGGGGGCUGCUCCUAGUACGAGAGGACCGGAGUGGACGCAUCACUGGUGUU
rnacentral:rRNA from 1 species